AGGCUUGGCUCAGGCAGACAGAAACUGAAACGAACAUCAUGGAUUGUUUCAGUGCUCAUUGAGAUUUCAAGCUCUUCCCGAAUUUUAUUUCUUCUAGAACACAUAAAUUCUGGACCAGAAUAUUCAAACUCAGCUCUCAAGUGUGUCCAGAAAGUGCUCUGUUGCCUGACUUGCCGCAGAAAUUGCAGAAGGUGCAGAAAAAAUAAAGUGCCUUUUCAGGACUGCAUUGCAACACGACUAACCAUCCCCGUUCACUGCAGGCCCAGAUCUCUCGAGUCUCAGGUAAACUCUUACCCAAGAGUUUAUAUUGGAGGAUUUUUAUCAUAUUUUCAACCAAAAGAAAGCAGCCACAGAUAAAAUGCCUAUGAAAGUAAGCUGACUGGAGAAUGCAGCACAGUCAGAAAAUGGGUUUCGUUAUUUGGGCUGCUUGUCUGCUCUUCAAUAACUGCAGGAACAUAUUGAGGAGGAAAAGUACGAUUAAAAGCCCAACUUCUUGCGUGUCCAUUAGAGAGACAUUUCAAAUGGUUGCAAAUAACUCCUUAUCCAAAUACUGCCUAACUUACAAGUGAUUGGUUCUGUCCUACUGACCUCUGCACUCUAUUACAGCACCAUAAUAAAAUGGUUUUUAAUAGCAGAAAGCUGAGAUUUACACUGCUCAUUAAGGUUCUUCCAAAUCAUUUAAAGCAGAUGUGCUAAUUCCACUGAAAUUAGAUUUUUUCUCACAGAUACUUAAUUAAUAACAGCAGAAAGAGGAUACACUAAAUACAAAACACCUUCACAUGACAUACCAGCACAACUUCAUGCUUCAAGCAAAAAAGUCAUGAGUACUGCUAAUGCAGAAAUAUCUAUCAGAGGAAUCCUACAACACAUUGCUCUCUGAACAACAUACCAAUGAGAGCAAUCUAGAAAUUGUAAGUGUAAUGACAUCCUUCUUACCUGUUUGGAAACUUUAGCCCAAGUUUUCUUCAGUCUGUAGAUCGCACUUCUGUUCAAGGCUGAUGUGAUUUCUAACACACCAUUAUAAUUGUGCAUACAUCGACAAAUAUCAGCUACUGCUACCCACUUUUCAAUUGAGUUAGCCCGGGAGCUGACAUCGGCAUAAUUCAUUAUCUGGGAAGCAACAAGGUUACUCAUCUGUGGGAAUACAAGAAAGACUAUUCAGAGUAGAAACUGCAGAGCAAGCAAUGAGAAAGCAACACUGAGAACCAACGACACCUCCAGAAGAGAAAAACAAAGCUGCACGAUGGCUGUGUAAUGACGACCCUGACUGGAGGAAAAGUCCGUGGCUAGGAAUGGCUCAUGACUCUGACUGGAUAAAGACCUGCAUGCACGGUUAUGGAGUGUUUGUGGGAUGUCUUGUUGGCAUAUAAAGGUGGGAAAGUUGAAAGAGAAAACAUAUGAAUGUGUAUAAGGGAUGUUAUAACCUGUAACGAGAGAUUUGGAUCUGAGUCUGCACUCAUCUGACCAAAGAAAGAGGACAUCUAAAUAUAAUCACUUUAGAAACAAUUAUUUAACAAACAAGGUAGAAAAUAUAACUGAUGUAAAACAGAAAUUACAGUUCUUAAUAAAAUCAGAAAAGCAUAUUGAGAACUACUGUACACACUGAACUGUUGUAGGACAGUGGAUGUAAAUGAGCAUAUGAAAGAAGGGUAAGAAAUGCAAUGCAGUGUAUCCUCAAGCCGACAGCAGUAACACUGAUUGGAAUGUCUUCACAGAAAAUGGUAACAAACAAAUAGAUGGAGAUUCAAAGGGCAUUCAUUAAACUGAAUUGGUUUUACGUUUCCACUAUGAAAAAAACUAUUUUAUUCUGUAAGCCAUAAGACAGGUUAGGAUAGUUUAAAAUGUUUUAGUCUAUUUUAUAGUUAUUGAAAUGCUGAGAAGCAAUUAAAGAAAAGGAGAAUCUUUAUAUGCAUUGAUUUUAAAAGUUAAUCAGAAGAAGACUAUAGCAUUCACUCACUGCUAGAUAAGAAAUUAUAAAAUGUUGUAAAAAUGAUAUUUUUGUUCCAGAGGUCACAGGCAGUGUCAAAAAAGUUCCCAGAAGGCAAUCCAUAUUUUUAAGUACUUACAUCAUUAAAAUGUUGGCUAGUUUUCAUAAUAUAGGGUGUUCUCUCAUUUUUAUCCAGUUUCAUCCAGCCCUGCCCAAGAAACUCUCUAGAUAAUGAGUGGAAAGAAAAAACAAAAACAAAAAUUUAAUUAAUGAACAUAUUACAGAGUCUUUGUCUAUAACUGUAGCCUGAAUGUAUUUUGAGUAUACCUCAUAUUUUUAGAAGAUAACUACAAAGCUCUACACUAGUUCCAGCACUUCAUUAUUACAUUAUUAAUGCUAACAAAUAAAGCUGUAGGUAUUAUAAAGAUAUAUACUGGUUUUAAUGCCAUCCUCCAAUUUUCCCAUAACUUUUCAGCAUUAUGACCCUAUUUGAAAUUGGUCUUAUCAGUUUACGUGAUUAUAUGAAUUGUAAACUGCUGUAUGAGGAAAGUUGAUUUGACAUCUCCUCCCCAGAGACUGAGCACGUCCAUACUACACUCACCUUUCACUAGCCCAAAACCUUACAUCACAGAUUUUUUCACAGGCACAGAUUGGAAAACCUCAGUCUUUCAAAAAAAGAUUAAACAAUAGGGGAAUCAUAAGCAAUAACAGAAACAAUCAAAAGAUUUCAUUCUCUUAUAUAUGCAAAUCUCUUUGCCAGGAUGUCAGUAGCAUGAACUAGUGUGCCCAGAAUCAGUUAAUAACUCAUCCGUGCACUCACUUCUGUCAGUUAUGGGAGAACACUUACUCGUAGGGUAUGCUUCUGAAAACUAUGUGGUCUAAAAGAGUUAUUUGCUCUGCAAGUUCCAUGGCUGACAAAGUCUCAAAGCACUCUGGUUUUGGACACUCUGACUGCAAAAAAAGAAAAACAUGCAAGAAUCUCCCUUUGUAUCAAAAGAGUACUUCAGAGCACAGUAUUAAAGACUUCAUACGCAUUUUCAGUAUAGAACUGUAAUUAACUUAUUUGAGACAGAGAAAUAAGAAUUAAUUAAAAAUUGUUAACAACGUGAGGUUAAACAUCAGGCUGGAAACCCACAUGAAAACAGGCACAUACUAAGUUAUGAGUAUCUAUGUAAGUUAACUAAAGUCUAUGCAUUCUGUGCCACUUUCCAUGGAACCUUUUAUUGCUCACACACUUAGCUGUAUUAAUACUUAGGAGAUGAUGGCGACUGUCAGGUCUGGAGGGCAGUUCUCAUCAGUGAAAGACAACUAAGGUUCUGAUGGCUGCUGAGAUGGUAGAUAUUUAUCUAUUAAAUUCAAAUACAUUCAUCUUUCACUUUUUUUUUGUUUUGCUUUUCAUUAACAUCAAAUCGUUAAGUUCUGACUGAACCAUCUUUGAUAUGAGCACCAAAUUCUCUCUUUAAACUGAAAUGCAGAUCCAUGGUAUAAAAUAAUAGUAUAUCUAUCCUGAGUUGCAAAGGUGAAGAAGUGAUACAAUUUAAUGGCUUAAAUAUGCUAUAUCUCUGUAGGCAUAUUUACAUUUCAAGAUGAACUUACCAUCUGAAUGAUAUCCUCUAUUUUUAAAUGGGUAUCAUCUUGAUCAUCCUGAGAAAGAGCCCUAAAAUUAAGCAGCAAAUAUCAUACAUAAAGAAAAUUACCUACGGUUAAGAGAAAUCCUCUGAGACAGGAAGCAUGUUCACCUAAUAUAAAUUCUUAGACUGCAAUUGAAAAAUGCAAAUUGAAAAUAAUAAUAAUAGUGGACCUAAAAACUAAUUUCCUGACUUCACUGUAAUGUAUAAAAUCAUGUAUCAACAUUAUGUUAGCUAAAAUGCCAGUUACGGAGAGGAACUGCAUCUCAAGCCUCUUCUCUGAUUUUCAAAUGGCAUACUAAAUGAUAUUUUGGAGAAAUGUUUGGUAAUCAACAUUUGAGAAGAAAUGCCAGUACAAUGAAAGAGUGAUUCACUGGGAAGUGUUGUUUACUGCACCGACUGCCCUCUUCACUGACCUACUCUAAGAGCUCUGAACAUAAAAGCAGACAACAAACAACAGAAUUUACUUGUAGCAAGUGCGUGCUGUGCUUUCAGUAACACAAGUGUUAAACCAUGUUUUCAAUUCUCCUAUGGAAUCAAUGAUUAUUAUCCUGCAGUAUUAUUUCAGAAUAAUGGGUCAAAAAUGAACCCAGCAGAAGAAACAAGUAUUUACCUAAGCCUCUUCUCUUUAAAGUAUUAACUUAGUACAUCAUUCUAAGAUCUUAUCCCCUCCUUUUAUAUAUGGUAUUUACUCUGCAAAUAGUUGGUCUCAGUGCUGAACUUAAUGAGUUGUCAGUCUUGGGAGGAUCUUUUUGAAAGAUUUCAGGGAUUUUAUUUUAUAAUGUAAUACUCUUUCCAGAAAGGCAGGUAACAUCUCAACUUGCAAGAUUACUGCAUAUAAAGCACAGGUAACGUGUAAUUCUACUCUAUUGGCACUGCUUAAAUUUCAGCUGCAGUACUAUGACCAGACCUGAACAUCACAGCAGGGCAAAGACAACAUGGUAUGAGUCCAAAUCAAAAAGUCUGAUAAAGUAUUUGGGAAGCAUAGACUCAAACAAACCUUGAAUAUGCUGGAUUUAUAUAAUACAGGAAGGAAUAUUUUAAGAGAAAUAAAAAUAUGCUAGUGUGUAGAAGAUUGGCUGUAAAGACAACAGUGAUAGGGCAAAAAAAACUGCUGGACUGAUGCAGAUUAAGGAAGAUUAAAUUUGAACAUUAUGUUUAAAUUCACCUACAUUCACCGACAGCUGGAAAUCACUGAGGCAAGUUUUCUGCAGAAGAAUAUUUCACAGAAUAUUUAUCAAUUGAAUUUUCAAGGAAAGUUUAGAUAACUGUUUUCAAAGAAGAUCCAGUUUCACUGAUUGUCCCAUGGAACAGAGCAACUGGAGAAGGUAUUUUCUCAUAGCUCCUCUUUCUGCGCUCUGUAGAGAUAAGCCUUCUGUAUGCCAUUUGAGAACUGAAAGAAAAGGCUUAUAUUGCCUAGAGUCUUUAGCAGUGAGUGUAAAAUAUGGAAUUUGUACUAUGUGGGUGGGGAGGAAGUAUCAAUGCUUAGUACAGUAGGUUCUUCUGCUGUGAGUUGCUGUUGUUUCCUUUUGGUUUGCCAAACUGAAGGACAAGGUUAGUAAAGAUAUACAGAAAAAGAACCUAAGAAUUCUCCUUGCCUAUAAAAUCCAGAGAAAAUGCUCAUUUCUUUGUGACAGUAGGAAAUGUUUAUAUCUAAUGGGCAAGUCAUGUAGGGUCCUGCAUGUCAACUUCUUCAGGAAAACACAAGGUUUCUUCACAAAACAGCUCUCUGCAGCCUCAGUAACUGUAAACAGACUGACAAUCUGUGUUUCCUCAGCAGCUUGUUUUGUGCUGCAUCUCACGACUGACUGCCUUUAGAAAGCUACUGCACAUCAUGUAGCAAAAGUAUGCGUAUUCCUAGCAUUAAAAAAAGAGUGCUUGCACUCCUGUCCCAAGUAUUCUCAUUAAUAUUGUAAACUCAUAAUCUGAGUUCCUUAUAUUUAUAUAGGUUGGAGUUCUCACCAUUGAUACAGAAAAUAUAUUAUUUGCUUAACAGAAAUUAAGAGACACGAGAUUCUCAAAAGGCUCAAAAUACUUUUUCCCUUCUUUACUUUCUGAUAUUUCUUUCAUGAUAUGCACAGUAUUUAUGUAGACUUUUAAUCCCUUGCUCUGCAGAGACAGUUCAUGAAAAAAAUUCUUUUAUGCAUAAAUGUUCUGUAUUUAAAUAUUCAGGGGCCAUCACCUCUCUCUAGACUGCAUAAAAUUACUUCUUAGUAACAGCAGUAGUAGCUUCCAUUUCAGUCUGCACUGUUGCUGGCCUUGGGACAAUUAAUUUCAACAGAGGUCUGGGAGCACAGACUGAGCUCCUCAGUUCUGCUUGGGCGGUUGCCAUUAAACACCUCCUGGAAAUCAGGUAAGCACCUCAGGAUCGUGUGAAAAUAGAUACAGAAGAAAGCAAAGCUACAGAAACAUUUUGCAUGGCCAUUAAACAAUCUCUCUCUCAGCAGGACUGAAUGGAGUGACAACACUGCUGUUAUACAGGAACAAAGUAAAAUUCUUAUGAAGAAAGUAAACAUGUAGGAAAUAACUGUCUAAUUCCUACACUUAGUAGCUGUCAUUUAAACCUAGCCCAAAUAAUUUUCAACAUAAAACUCUAGAAUUUGUUCCAAAAUAUCUGUCUUUUAUUUCUUUUACUG